ensembl:lncRNA
CUCUUGUAGAAAUGAUAGAUGUCUGUCUCUGCCUUGCUUCGAAGUCAGUUUUAAGGAUUUAAGAUCCUAUAUGCUCCUCUUUGAAGCCGGCCAGUCUUUGAUUACAUCUAGCUCAUUCCUCCCCCAACAACAACAUCACGAACAUGCGCGAGCACACACACACACACACACACACACACACACACACACAUGCACAAGCACACUCGCACACUUCCUGAUUGCGGAACGGCCCCCUGUCCUUGCGGUUCCAUUGUCAGAAAUGCCUUGUGCCAAUCAAAGGAAUGUGCCUUUGGAGGAAGAUAUUUUUCACAAUCGAGCUACAGGAUGUCAGCCUUUGGUUACCCACCCUGGAUCUUACCCAUGUUUAAGCACCUUCAUGGUGUUUCCCUUAGAUGUUUCUCCAGCACACUCAGUAUCACCUGAACGAUGCUCUCCCCGAGAACCCCCAGUUAAUUAGAUACCUACUGCCCACAGUGAUUUCAUCGGUUUUGUUGUUAUUGUUGUUGUUGCUGCUGCUGUGACGUUUAGCGUAAGGCAUAGCCUGUAUAAGUAGUGAAGUCUUUUGAGAUGUUCUGUAUACUUUUUUCCAAAGGAUGGUCGGCUCCGUAUUGUUCUGAGAAAGGCAAGGAGCACACGCUUUGUUGACAGCAUGCAUAGUUGCUUAGGAAAGGAAAGCUGCUCGAAUGUGGCAGGUGAUAGUCCCCGGUGGGGCCGGUCUGUAGUGGGUAUGUUGCCUUGUGUCGACGGAUCACCACUGUGCACAUGUGUUCACAUAGAUACUGUCUUUAGUAUAAAAGAUUGACCGCUACACCAAACUCUUCACUAGGACUGGGGAAGUCUUUAGGGCCCUUGGCAGUGAAAUGAAUACGUGAUUUUAUAUGCAACUACACAAUCAUCUCGAAGCUAGUCCAAGGACCUCAAGUUAAGAUCUGUGUUAGGCAAAAGUGAAAGCGUUUGAGUUUGUGUUUUGUUUCUCUUAAGCAUUAGACUUAACUUUGGCCCUGGAAUAAAGACCAAAGGAGCUUGCAUAUGUAUCAUUGUGGGUUUUUAUAAUUGAAAACUUUUUUUAGAUUUUAUGUGUAUGAAUAUUUUACCGGUGUGUAUGUGCACCAUGUGUAUGCCUAGUGCCCACAGAGGUUAAAUAAAUAAAAGGUGGCAGAACCCCUGGAACUAGAGUCAAGGAUGGUUGUGAGUCACCAUGUUGGUGCUUAGGAAUAGAGCCUGCGUCCUCUCUGUAAGAGCAACAAGUGCUCUAACUACUGAGCCAUCUCUCAGGUGGCUUAUUAUUGUAUGUGGUUUUUGG